CGGGGUGCAACAGGCGCGAAAACUGCACAAUGUGGGAAACCACGAUGCGGGAAACCCAAGUGCCAGCACUAUGUGUUGGCUGUCCUCCAGUGUUCGUAACUGGGGAAGAAAGAGCUGGGUAAGACGGGUGCCAGCCGCCGCGGUAAUACCCGCAGCUCAAGUGGUGGUCAUUAUUAUUGGGCCUAAAGCGUCCGUAGCUGGUUUGUUAAAUGCCUGGGUAAAUCGAUGCGCUCAACGCAUCGAAUUCCGGGUAGACUGGCAAACUCGAGACCGGGAGAGGUGUAGGCUACUCGAGGGGUAGGGGUAAAAUCCUGUAAUCCUUCGGGGAGGACCAGUGGCGAAGGCGCUACACUAGAACGGCUCUGACAGUGAGGGACGAAGCCCUGGGGCGCAAACCGGAUUAGAUACCCGGGUAGUCCAGGGUGUAAACGCUGCAGACUUGGUGUCGCUGAUCCUACGAGGGUUGGCGGUGCCGUAGAGAAGUUGUUUAGUCUGCCGCCUGGGGAGUACGGUCGCAAGACUGAAACUUAAAGGAAUUGGCGGGGGAGCA
rnacentral:rRNA from 1 species